rnacentral:ribozyme from 11 species
AAAAUUGGAAAAAAAAUGGGAAAAAAGAGUGGAAAAAAUGUUACGCCUUUUUUGCUAUUUUUUUUUGCUUUCCUUUCAUCUCUUCCUUUUCA